UCGAUAGAGGAGAGAAGCAUCAUUCUGGCUUCUAUGUUGAGAACAAACUGAAGGAAAGUGUCUUAGUUCAUUUGGUGCUGCUAUAACAAAAUACCUGAGACUGGGUAACUUAUGAAGAACAGAAAUUUACUUCUUACAGCUCUGGAGGCUGGGACAAAGAGCAUCAUCUAAAAGGCCAAAUAAAUAACAGCCAUGGGAAACAGUAAGGAAUUCAGAAAUGGAAGAUUUGCAUAAAAAUAGAAAUUAAACAGUAUCAGAUAGACAAAGAAGCCACAGGCCAAUGUAUGAACAAGAGAGAAAAAGAGCCAACAACUCAUAAGAAAAUGAGGAUCUCAGUCAUACAAGUUCAAGAAAAUGAUUUCUGCCAAUAACCUGAGAGAGCCGGAAAACAGAUUUCCCUAGCUGAGCCUCCAGAUGAAAAUGCAGCCAGCGGACACCUUGAUUGCAUCCAUGAGACACUGAGCAGAGAAUCCAA